GCUUCGGUGGACUAAGUGGUUUGAUCGUUUGCCCCUGAUGCGGGAGUUCAAGGGUUCGAACCCCUGUCGAAUCA